UACGUAGGGUGCGAGCGUUGUCCGGAAUUAUUGGGCGUAAAGAGCUCGUAGGCGGUCUGUCGCGUCGAUCGUGAAAACUUGGGGCUUAACCCUGAGCUUGCGGUCGAUACGGGCAUGACUGGAGUUCGGCAGGGGAGACUGGAAUUCCUGGUGUAGCGGUGAAAUGCGCAGAUAUCAGGAGGAACACCGGUGGCGAAGGCGGUUCUCUGGGCCUUACCUGACGCUGAGGAGCGAAAGCGUGGGGAGCAAACAGG
rnacentral:rRNA from 1 species